GGGCGUUUAGCGCAGUGGUAGCGCGUAUGCUUUGCAAGGUCUUGGGCAGCCAAAUCCUCUCGUGUGUAUAAGGUCCAGGGUUCAAUCCCCUGAACGUCCA